ACAAAAGGAAACAAGACACAGCGAUUUCCAGAAAAGUUCAAAAGGGAAUCUUGUGGACUGGAUCAAGACCCAUUGAGCAGAAAGAACAGAAGCCAUCAGAAAACAAAUAAAGAAAGAAAGAGUAAUCAGAGAUACUUGUGUUGAACAGCUUCAGAAAAUGUCUUCUCCAAACAAUGAAAGAAGCAGAAACAGCAGACAUUACAAAAACAAAAUUAUUAUUAAGAACGCUGCUCCAGUGAGCUUUUUGUUACUGACUUUUCAGGGGUUUAUGGGUGUAAAAUUUUCUUGCCCAUGCAGCAAUGGAUUGAACAAAGCUAUAACAUUACUAAUCUUGAUCGUACCUGCCAUCUUUGGUGGGAUAAUGUUGUCACUAUUUUUAAGAUUUGAAAAACAAAGCAAUAGUGAAGAUGGAGUGGUCCAAACAGACAACAGAAGAAGAUCUUGUCGUGAAAAAUUGCUUUAUUAUACAAUUCACUGCAUUCCAUCUCUAUUGUGGCUCUGUAUAUUUUUCAUUGAUGGUGAUUAUGUUGCAUGUUUCAUGACAAACUGGAAUGGAACAUACAGCUGUGAUACCAAUAUCCAUCCUAAUUGUGUGAGUUGGUGCAAACCUGAAUCAAACGAAGGAGGAAAUGAGACUCAAAUAUUUAAGGACAUACAACUGAGGAAUAACCAAUCAAAGAUAAUAGGUUACAUCCUGGCCUUUGUCUUCUGCAUCGUCAUCAUGAUCAUAAUGUGCUUGAGUAAAGAAAAGAAAAGAGCUCCAAAUCGAGGGGACCCCACGUUUAACGCAACAACUGGGACUGUCAUGAUACCCAAUCCAGGACAAUAAAAUGAUCACUUCAGGUUCACAUGCUCCAUUAAUAUUCUCUUCUGCUGUCUGUGCAAACAGCUUAAAGAACUUGCUAAUGCAUUUAUUCAAGAACAUAAUGUUUAAAAUUAUAUUCAUUUUCUUAUCUGUGCUUUUUGCCUACAAGAUUUUUAAAUGUAACUUUUAAUUUCUCUUGUGUUCCAUUUAUUUGUUUAACAUGAUUUUCCCUCUUCGGUGUUUUUACUCAUUAAAAGUGUCAAAAGCCCAGAAAAAUAAAGCAUUUGCCUUAUACUAUUAUGUCAUUGUAUGAUGUUUUUAUUGCAUGAUUAAUUAACUCUUUGCAGAGACCUGCUCUCCUCGUUACUGUUGCCAUGUCUGACAAGCCAUCUACUCUCACACCACACAUUAUCUUUUAACGCACUGGAAAAUACAUUGUGGAGCAAACUGUAAUGCCCCAACAGACGAGACAGAGCAGAUUACUUUUGGUUUGUAUUUUUUUAAAGAAAUUCUAUCAAUGGCUUUUAAUAUGUCUGGUUUGUUUGUUGCAUAAAAAUAAUUCAAAGAUUCAGCUUUAUGAUUGGUCAGAUUGCCUGUCAAUCAAACUCCCUGCUAAGGGUCAAUUGCAG
rnacentral:lncRNA from 1 species